rnacentral:rRNA from 1 species
CCUACGGGAGGCUGCAGUGAGGAAUAUUGGUCAAUGGACGAGAGUCUGAACCAGCCAAGUAGCGUGAAGGAUGACUGCCCUAUGGGUUGUAAACUUCUUUUAUAAAGGAAUAAAACGAGGCACGUGUGCCUUUUUGCAUGUACUUUAUGAAUAAGGAUCGGCUAACUCCGUGCCAGCAGCCGCGGUAAUACGGAGGAUCCGAGCGUUAUCCGGAUUUAGUGGGUUUAAAGGGAGCGUAGAUGGGUUGUUAAGUCAGUUGUGAAAGUUUGCGGCUCAACCGUAAAAUUGCAAUUGAUACUGGCAGUCUUGAGUACAGUUGAGGUAGGCGGAAUUCGUAGUGUAGCGGUGAAAUGCGUAGAUAUCACGAAGAACCCCGAUUGCGAAGGCAGCUUACUAAACUGUGACUGACAUUGAUGCUCGAAAGUGUGGGUAUCAAACAGGAUUAGAUACCCGUGUAGUC